GGAGUCUGGUCCGUGUCUCAGUACCAGUGUGGGGGACCUUCCUCUCAGAACCCCUACUGAUCGUCGGCUCGGUGGGCCGCUGCCCCGCCGACUACCUAAUCAGACGCAUGCCCAUCAGCAAGCUUCUCAUUUCACCGCAGAUGGAUGCCCAUCCGCGGCCUCAUGCGGUGUUAAUCUCCCUUUCGGAAGGCUAUCCCGCGCUUGCUGGCAGGUUGCAUACGCGUUACUCACCCGUGCGCCGGUCGCCGCCAGGAAAAGCAAGCUUUCCCCGCGCUGCCCCUCGACUUGCAUGUGUUAGGCCUGUCGCUAGCGUUCAUC
rnacentral:rRNA from 1 species